UUUGCAAUUCUAUGCUCUAUAUGAUUUUUAUUAUUUGCAAUUCUAUGCACUACGAUUUUUCAUUCUUUGCAAUUCUAUGCAUUAUACGAUUUCAAUUCUUUGCAAUUCUAUGCACUAUGAUUUUAAGUCAUUGCAAUGUGGUUUUAUUCUGUGCAAUAUAAUCUGAAAUAUGUACUCGGACAAUUGCAGUUGGCCAAUUGGGGAGUAUAGUCGACCUAUGGCUAUAAGAUGUGUAUGUAAACAUACUGACUGUACAGCAAAUGCAAUUGUGUUGGGAGCGUUUCACCUGGUGGCCUGGAAGCUAGUUUGCUCCAACGCAACUGUGUUGGGAGCGUUUCACCUGGUUGCUUGGAAGGUAGUUUGCUCCAACGCAACUGUGUUGGGAGCGUUUCACCUGGUAGCCUGGAAGCUAGUUGCUCCAACGCAACUGUGUUGGGAGCGUUUCACCUGGUAGCCUGGAAGCUAGUUGCUCCAACGCAACUGUGUUGGGAGCGUUUCACCUGGUAGCUUGGAAGGUAGUUUGCUCCAACGCAACUGUGUUGGGAGCCUUUCACCUGGUAGCCUGGAAGGUAGUUUGCUCCAAUGCAACUGUGUUGGGAGCGUUUCACCUGGUAGCCUGGAAUGUAGUUUGCUCCAACGCAACUGUGUUGUGAGCGUUUCACCUGGAAGGUAGUUUGCUCCAACGCAACUGUGUUGGGAGCGUUUCACCUGGUAGCCUGGAAGGUAGUUUGCUCCAACGCAACGGUGUUGGGAGCGUUUCACCUGGUUGCCUGGAAGGUAGUUUGCUCCAACGCAACGGUGUUGGGAGCGUUUCACCUGGUUGCCUGGAAUGUAGUUUGCUCCAAUGCAACUGUGUUGGGAGCGUUUCACCUGGUAGCUUGGAAGGUAGUUUGCUCCAACGCAACGCGGUUGAUUGUUGGUUUUUUGUGCGCUUUUGAAUGAACAAUCCGGACAACGUGGCCACCAACGGGGGAGCGAGGACCCCCGCAUGCAAGUCACCAAUCGUUUGUUAUUCCUUGAGCUGGUUGAAGUUGAUUGGUUGUGUUUGGCUGCUGUUUUCAGAAUGUGUCCACCGCACACACACAUCGCUAUAUUCUUUCCCCUUAACUUAACCUGGAUUUUACCGCUCGUCUGUUUGUUUUUGGCUCAUUCUAAGUUUAGUGCAGUGUUGUAGGUUGUUUUUGAGUGCAUUGUUGCACGUGUUUGUAUGAGGCCUAACGGGGGACGACUAAACGACUGACUUUACUAACGCUGCGGACCGCUACAACAACAACAACAACAACCUGUCUGGACACUGGGAAGGGUGUGCUCUUGAAACUGGACGCAAAAUGGAAGAACACCUGCAACUAUUGUGAAAGUUCAACGUUUGGGCAAAAUUGGAAUUGGUGAAAGCAAACAAGCGCAAGUUAAAUGGUAAGUAUACGAAUGCAACUAUUUUCGCCAAUUGCUUUUUUGUUUCACAGCACCACUGGACUACAGAACAUCCCCAGUGGAAAUGACAUCUGUGCAAUUCUGGAGUUUACAAUUUGAUGUCACAGCACCUUCUGCCGAUGCUUCACCUCCCUCAGGAAUCCACAAAGAUUUGGAAGAACUGGGAAAAACCCAGAACGGAUGUCUGGCAAACCGAAAUCAGGGCGAGUGUGAAGUUGUGACCUCAAACUUCCACAAUGGGGUUUGUUUUCGCUCCACCCGUAACCCCACUGGACUGGUGCAUGAAAAGCUGUCAGACUGACUUCACUAGACGAAUGACUGCGGGCAUGUUAUGGUUUGGUUUCAAUUGUUGGUUUUUGGCUUGGUAGGUUUGAAUUUAGGAGAUGGAUUAGUUGAUUUACACAUCCACACAGUACUCUACAUUCUCCCUUUUUUGAAUCUUUCCUUUUUACAACUUUCCAUACAUUUGAAAAUUGUUGACUGCUGCUGAACUUGUAGGCUACUGCUGCUUCAUACUUCAAUGUGGUUUUAUUCUGUGCUAAAUUAUUUUGAUUCUAUGCAAUACGGUUUUAAUUCUUUGCAAUUCUAUGCACUAAGAUUUUAAUUCUUUGCAAUUCAAUGCAUUAUUUUUAGUCUUUGCAAUUCUAUGCAUUACGAUUUUAAUUAUUUGCAGUUAUAUGCUCUAUAUGAUUUUUAUUAUUUGCAAUUCUAUGCACUACGAUUUUUCAUUCUUUGUAAUUCUAUGCAUUAUACGAUUUUAAUUCUUUGCAAUUCUAUGCAUUAUACGAUUUUAUUUCUUUGCAAUUCUAUGCACUACGAUUUUAAGUCAUUGCAAUGUGGUUUUAUUCUGUGCAAUAUAAUCUGAAAUAUGUGCUCGGACAAUUGCAGUUGGCCAAUUGGGGAGUAUAGUCGACCUAUGGCUAUAAGAUGUGUAUGUAAACAUACUGACUGUACAGCAAUUGUGUUGGGAGCGUUUCACCUGGUAGCUUGGAAGCUAGUUUGCUCCAACGCAACUGUGUUGGGAGCGUUUCACCUGGUAGCCUGGAAGCUAGUUUGCUCCAACGCAACUGUGUUGGGAGCGUUUCACCUGGUAUCCUGGAAGUUAGUUGCUCCAACGCAACUGUGUUGGGAGCGUUUCACCUGGUAGCUUGGAAGGUAGUUUGCUCCAACGCAACUGUGUUGGGAGCCUUUCGCCUGGUAGCUAACCUGUGUGUUGUAUUUAUUCAUAUUACUUAAUUGUCUAGCAUCUGCAUUAGCUAGCUAUAGCUGCUGUGUACGGGGAAUGGGUUAGCCUAGCGAUUCAUCGUCUUGCUAGAUAUGCCUCAUGCUGUCCUUUAUAUUACUUAUUUGCAAGGAAUUUAAGCAUUGACAAUUAUUUAUGAACGUUGAACCAUGAAAGAAUUGAAUUAUUUUUGUUCAGGGGUGGGUUUGCCCCUGUACAUUUAUUUCAAGAUCAGUGUUCUACAGCGUUUGUCAAAUUCAGGACUGGCGCUGGAAGCUGUAGGUGGAGGGAAGACCAGGAAUGAUGCAGCUCUGCAGAUGCUGAAGGGUCACGAUGGAAGAGCAGAUGGCUGUGCAGUUGCCAUGGUGGAGAGACCCAGAGUAUGAUGACCGAACAGUUGAUCUACAACGAUGGCCUACUCCCCAUCCACCCUGAGGAUCCCUGGCUACACCUACAAUCCAAUCUACCCCAGACAUAACCACUCGGAGCUCAACAACUCCUACAACUCCUCCUGCCUCCUACACACCAUACUGUUACCACUUUACCAUUUUAACUUUAAAAAAAAGUACUGUAAUUCACACCAUGUUGUAGGAAAAGCAUGUUUAGCUCAAUGAUUUAUACAUUCUAUUUCUGUGACCCCAACUAUUGUAUUUCUAACCCAGUUACCUCGUAACCCUCUUUCUAAGGGAGCGACUAAAGGGACAAAGCUGGAGCAAACCUGAGCUUAACAAUCUUUCUAAUCUUUCUUUCAAAUGUCCUAAAUUGAAACAUAUAAAAUGCCUAAAGUAACGUGUCUAACAAAACAAAAAGCCAACCUAAUACCCAAACUUAACCAUCUAACUAAAGAUCUCAAAUGUCUAAACUCUCUUACCUUAACCGAGUACCUAAACCGAACAAUUUAACUAAACAUCUCAAAGGCCUAAACUCGCUUACCUCAACCUAACCUAAUACCCAAACUUAAAAGCCCAAAUGCUUAAACUCUUACCCUAACCUGGUACCUAAACUUGACAAUCUAACUUAGCAUCUCUAAUAACUAAACUCUUUCCUAAUACCUAAACAAUCUUUAAUACAAUCACUAAUGCCUAAACUUAAACAAACACCAAUAAUAAAAGUUAGCCAUCCUUAAUCUUAAACCAAAACCAGACUUGUCCCUGGGUCGCUCCACUUUGUUUCUUUAAAGGCAUCUCCUUUCCCCUGCAAUUGUGGCACCCAUUGCACUCCUGACCAUCCCUGGAAGAAGGGAUCCCCUCCAUUGCGUUUCUUCUCAAGAUUUCUUCCUUGCUGAUUCAAGGGAGUUUUUUCUUGCCCGUGUGGGGGCAUGGGUAAAGGGGGGUGUCACAAAUAUUUGGCCUGUUAAGCCCUUUGAGACUGUAAUGGUGAUUAAGGGCUAUACAAAUAAAAUUGAAUUGAAUAAAGAUACCUCAUCUUUACAGAUUUUGUUUUGGGGAAUUGGGACAGCUGAGCAGCUUAAGCAUCCUUACUGGUGAAUCUGAUCUGACGAUAUCAAUCAUAGGACUAUGAAGCUGCAGAGUUCUUCCAAGAAAGGGUUCCAAUCCAGGAUAGCUUUUAACACACUUUAUUUGUUAAAGUAUUUCGGUAUGGUAACUACGGAGCAAAAGGAGGUGGAAGCGUGUUGAACACGUGCUGAGCGUCUCCCUGCUGAUCAAAAACAUUAACCCUUUGUCUGGUAGCAGCUAGAAGAUUCUGAAGUCCAACUUCUCUGUCGAGAUUGAACUGAAAUGCAAUGCACAACAUGCAAUUUGUCCUUAUCUCAAUUUUUAAAACUUUUUAUAUUUUCUAUUAUUACUAUUUAUUGUGCUGCGCUCUCUCGCUCUCUCGAUCUCUCUCUCUCGA